rnacentral:lncRNA from 1 species
CUUCACGGCUCUCCAGCUAACAUCCUAUGGCUUGCCUCAGCCCUACGAGUGACACUAUGGUCCCUUGGAGGCAUUUACGUCUGCUCCACUCACAUUGCUCAACCCACACUUGGAGAGAAAUGUGUUUGCAUAAAUACUAGCAGAUGAAUUUUUUAAAUAUCACUUUUUCUUUCCUGGCACUCUGUGAGAGAAAUGAGCAAAUAUAAACAGAAGAGUA